GUAGUGAUAUGCUUGUUUCAAAGAUUAAGCCAUGCAUGUCUAAGUAUAAGCGAACUUAUACAGUGAAACUGCGGAUGGCUCAUUAAAACAGUUUGAAUUUAUUUGAUGAAUGUAUGAGAAUACUACUCGGAUAACCGUAGUAAUUCUAGAGCUAAUACAUGCAACGACGCCCGACCGUUUCACUACGGAAGGGCUGUAUUUAUUGGAUACCAAAACCAUCCUUCCCUCGGGAAGUUUUGUUUGAUGAUUCACAAUAACUGAUCGGAUCGCCACUGUGGUGGCGACAGGUCACUCAACAUUCUGCCCUAUCAGCUUUCGAUGGUUGUGUAGUGGACAACCAUGGCCAUAACGGGUAACGGAGAAUCAGGGUUCGAUUCCGGAGAAGGAGCUUGAGAAUUGGCUACUACAUCUAAGGAAGGCAGCAGGCGCGCAAAUUACCCAAUCCCGAUUCGGGGAGGUAGUGACAAAAAAUAACAAUACCGGGCCUUUUUGGGCUUGGUAAUUGGAAUGAGGGAGAGUUAAACGGACCAUCGAGUAUCCAUUGGAGGGCAAGUCUGGUGCCAGCAGCUGCGGUAAUACCAGCUCCAAUAGCGUAUAUUAAAGUUGUUGCAGUUAAAAAGCUCGUAGUUGGACUUGUGUGCGCUGUCCGCGGGUGGCCUGCGCCCAAAAGGGCGUUUCGGUUCGGCCCCGGUGGCGCCUUGAAAUCUGCAGCUGGGGGGACGUUGGCCUUAACUGGUCGGCGACCGCACGCCGGCUGCUCGGUUACUGUGAGAAAAUUAGAGUGUUCAAGGCAGGCAUUGGGUGCAAUUGAAUACAUUAGCAUGGAAUAAUAAAAUAUGGCUCCUGCCGUAUUUUGUUGGUUUUGACUGGUGGGAGUAAUGAUUGAUAGGGACGGUUGGGGGUGCUAGUAUUGAGCGGCCAGAGGUGAAAUUCAUGGAUUCGCUCAAGACUAACUUAUGCGAAAGCAUUCACCAAGGACGUCCUCUUUAAUCAAGAACGAAAGUUGGGGGAUCGAAGACGAUCAGAUACCGUCGUAGUCUCAACCAUAAACUAUGUCGACUUGGGAUCGGCGGUAGUUUUUUCAUUAAGACACUGUCGGGACCACGGGAGAAAUCAAAGUGUCUGGACUCUGGGGGAAGUAUGGUCGCAAGGCUGAAACUUGAAGGAAUUGACGGAAGGGCACCACCAGGAGUGGAGCCUGCGGCUUAAUUUGACCCAACACGGGGAAACUUACCAGGUCCAGAGAUAUAGAGGAUUGACAGAUUGAAGCUCUUUCUUGAUCACUUCGGUGGUGGUGCAUGGCCGUUCUUAGUUGGUGGAGUGAUUUGUCUGGUUAAUUCCGUUAACGAACGAGACCUCAGCCUGCUAGUGUAGUCGGCUGGAUC
rnacentral:rRNA from 1 species